UACGGGGGGGGCAAGCGUUGUUCGGAAUUACUGGGCGUAAAGGGCUCGUAGGUGGCCAACUAAGUCAGACGUGAAAUCCCUCGGCUUAACCGGGGAACUGCGUCUGAUACUGGAUGGCUUGAGUUCGGGAGAGGGAUGCGGAAUUCCUGGUGUAGCAGUGAAAUGCGUAGAUAUCAGGAGGAACACCGAUGGCGAAGGCAGGUCUCUGGGCUGACACUGACGCUCAUGCACGAAAGCGUGGGGAGCAAACAGG
rnacentral:rRNA from 1 species